CAGGUGUGCUGGGAUCGUGUGUCUCCAGAUACAGGUGUUGCUGGCCUAGUUAGUGAUUUUUCUUAUUUGUUUAAUGUUAGCCACCUCUCCAAAUAAUGCCUGGGGCCAGGUAUCCUGCUGGAGCCCCGGAUGUAGGCAGCAGAAAAUGCCAUGGCCCAGGGCACAGUGGUGUCUGACUUUUACUCACCUGUGCUGCUUUCUCCUUCCAGAUGUUCCCAGGAUCAUGUUAGAGACCAGGUGUAGUCAUGUCACACCCUGCACCUGGGUGUGGCUGUGUGUCCAGUUCUCACCAACUGAAUAAUAAUGAACCAACAAGAGCGAAGAACAAGUCAAAGAAAAUGGCAAAGAAGAUAUUUCUUUGGGAAAGUGAAGAAUCAUCCCUCAGCCAUCCCACUUCUCUUAUUUAUGUCACCUGUCUAAGCCUCCAAAAGUAUGUGCAUUUUGGACUCCUGGCCUAAGGAUUCAUGUGGAUAAAUGACUAACAAAUGGGCGGAGGUCCCCAUAAAAGCACUUUUCUUUUCUGGAGGCUAUUCCUGAUUGGAGUCAGGAGUUCUAUCCUGAGUUAGAGGUGCCUUACUCAGACUCUUGCUUGCGUGAGUGUGGUAUGAUCCAUUCCUUCAGGUUGGCCUCUCGGAUGGGUGCCUACUGUGGCCAUGCCACCAUGCCAGAGGACUGGGUGGGCAUGGGCAUGAGGGUGCAACAGUGACUGAGGUCUCUACUCUCCAGAGGCAAAAAAUAAACCUCAAGGAAGGCUUGAGCCACCAGGGGUCUGACUAAAUAGUGAUCCUAUCAGCCUUAUUUUUUUAAUUUUUAGUUGACAUGUAGUAAUUGUACAUAUUUAUGGGAUACAGAAUAGUAUUUCAACACAUGUAAACAAUGUGUAGUAUUCAAAUCAGGGUAAUUAGUGUAUUUCUCACCUGAAACAUUUAUUAUUUUUUUCUGUUCAGUACCUUCAAAAUCCUUCCUUCUGGCUACUGGAAAACAUAAAGUAAAUUGUUAACUAUAGUCAUCCUACAAUGCUAUAGAACAUUAUAACUUAUUCCUCCUGCCUUGCUGUCAUUUUUUAUCAGUUAACCAACAUCUACUGUCUCCCCGCCUCCUUUCCCCAUGCUCCUGUGACCACUAUUCUACUCUCUGCUUCUAUGAGAUCAACUUUUUUAGCUCCCACAUAUGGGUGAGAACAGGCAGUGUUUGUCUUUCUGUGCCUGGUUUAUUUUACUUACCAUAAUGCCCUCCAGCCUCAUCCAUAUUGCUGAGAAUGACAGGAUUUCAUUCUUUUUAUGGCUGCAUAACAUUCAACAGUGCAUAUGCCACAUUUUCUUCAUUCAUUCAUCUGUUGAUGGGCACUUAAGUUGAUUCCAUAUCUUGGCUAUCGUGAAUAGUUCUGCAAUAAACAUGAAAGUGUAGAUAUCUCUUUGAUACACUGAUUUCAGUUCUUUUGGAUCUAAACCCAGAAGUGGGAUGGCUGGACUAUAGGGCAGUUCUCUUUUUAGUUUUUUGAGGAAACUCCACGCUGUUUUACACAAUUUAUCAGCCUUAUUUUCGCCUCCUCAUCACACAUGGCAGAUAAUUUGUCACGAGGGAUGUCCCUCCCAAAGCCUGCCCAGAGUGGAUGUGUCCUGAAAUAAUAUUUUGAAAUAUGAGCUGGUAUUUUUCUCUGUACUUUCUGUGAGACCCUGUGUACUCUAUCUGCUAAGAACUCCACUUUCAUGGAUCACAAGAAGGCUAACACACAAUAAUAAAAUGUUUUUGCUUUUCCUCUUUGUAAGAAUAGAUAAGUUCCAGGAGAGAUUCCAUGCUCCAAGACUAGAAAUGAACCUGCUUGGACGUUUAUGCAAACCUCUGCUCAAAUGUCCCUUCCUUGGAAAGGCUUUUUCUCACCCACUCAGCUUGAAGUCAGAUCCUUCCUCACCACCCCUCAUCACUUUCUUCCCACUCUUUCUUGAGGUCAUUGUGUGUACAUUUUGCUUGUUUAAUGGUAUGCUCAUCACUAAGUUGUGAGCCCCUUUGGGGCUGGUACCUGGUCAGUCUACUCAUGGGGUUAUCUUCAGUGCAAAGGGAAGAAGCUCAACAAAUAUUGACCGAAUUAAUGAAUGAGGUGUGUUUGAUGCUGGUGGGUCUUUGAGGAAUGGCCUUGCCUUUUGCCACAUAAAUGCAGUUUUUAGGUGGGUGGGGUGUAUGGUGGGUGUGCUGGCAAUGGAAACCUCACAUCAGUGAGGAGAUCCAAGAGCAAAAAUAUCAUGCUUCUUCUCAAGUAGAGACUGGGGGUGGGGACAAAACUUCCAGGGUGUACACAACCACGUGCCAUGCCUGGGUCAACAGGGCAGCUCAUGGUGGGGAAGCAGUGGAAGUUUCCUAGGCACUGGGGGCAUGCUGGGUUUAAUUCAGGAGCUGAUGGGGUUGGCAGGCCUCAAGACUGUUGACGGAGCGCCUGACAGGGAUGAGGAAAUCUCACGGGUGCCACCUUGAAGAAAUGAUGACACUGGGGACUAGGGCUGCACCUGUCUCUCUGGUGCUUUCCUACUACAUUGGUCCCUCUACUCAAAUCCAGAUAAAGUGGGAAGACAGACCAACACUGAAUCAACUGAAAGUAAGCUUCCAUCACUCAGUGAGAUGGGAGUCUAAAUAGAAACUGAGUUUUUAAAGAAAGUUACAUUUCUCACACAUCAGUAUUUAUGAAUCGAAAUUUCUAUUUCUCACAUGAACAGUUCCUCGUGGCUGUAUUUGCACCACUUGCAAACCACUCAUGGAUUCCAAGAGUGAUGCAGUUAUGGGAAUAAACUGGAAUCCACUCUAAUUUAUUCCUAAAAGUAAUUGUUCCAUAAGGUUCCAUAAUUCAGUUCUUAUUUGUCAGGUUACUUGUUAAUGUCCAUUGCAACAUUAUGAAAAUGUGUUUCACACAUGCUGCGAACAUAGAAGUAAAAAAUAAAUUUUGAAGGCACCUGUUGUAAUGUUGUAACAGGGAAAUACCUGAACUAUGAAUCACAGGACACGGGUUCUGGUGACAGCUAUGCCACCUAUUAGUUGUGGGUGCUAG
rnacentral:lncRNA from 10 species